UACGUAGGGUGCAAGCGUUAAUCGGAAUUACUGGGCGUAAAGCGUGCGCAGGCGGUUAUGCAAGGCAGAUGUGAAAUCCCCGGGCUCAACCUGGGAACUGCAUUUGUGACUGCAUGGCUGGAGUGCGGCAGAGGGGGAUGGAAUUCCGCGUGUAGCAGUGAAAUGCGUAGAUAUGCGGAGGAACACCGAUGGCGAAGGCAAUCCCCUGGGCCUGCACUGACGCUCAUGCACGAAAGCGUGGGGAGCAAACAGG
rnacentral:rRNA from 1 species